GAUCAUGGCUCAGGAUGAACGCUAGCUACAGGCUUAACACAUGCAAGUCGAGGGGCAGCGCAGUGUAGCAAUACAUGGGCGGCGACCGGCGCACGGGUGCGUAACGCGUAUCCAACCUUCCCGUUACUCAGGGAUAGCCUUCCGAAAGGGAGAUUAAUACCUGAUGGUGUUCAAAUUCCGCAUGUUAUUUGAACUAAAGAUUUAUCGGUAACGGAUGGGGAUGCGUGACAUUAGCUAGAUGGCGGGGUAACGGCCCACCAUGGCGACGAUGUCUAGGGGUUCUGAGAGGAAGGUCCCCCACACUGGAACUGAGACACGGUCCAGACUCCUACGGGAGGCAGCAGUGAGGAAUAUUGGUCAAUGGCCGGGAGGCUGAACCAGCCAUGCCGCGUGAAGGUCACGGCCCUAUGGGUCUUAAACUUCUUUUGUAAGGGAGCAAUAAGGUUCACGUGUGGACUGAUGAGAGUACCUUACGAAUAAGCAUCGGCUAACUCCGUG
rnacentral:rRNA from 1 species